GAGCUAUAUAUUUUGGCAGCACAUAUACUAAAAUUGGCACGAUGCAGAGAAGAUUAGCAUGGUCCCUGAAAUGAAUAUUCUAUUAAGAAUAGGUUAUCAAGUGGGU